UAGGAAGGGUGGGCAAGCGCUGUAUUUUUAAGUACAGAGGAAAGUCCGGGCUCUACAGAAACACAACGCUGGAUAACGUCCAGCCAGGGAAACCUGAGGGAAAGUGCCACAGAAAACAAACCGCCCGCAAGGGUAAGGGUGAAAAGGUGCGGUAAGAGCGCACCGCGCACAAAGUGAUUUGAUGCGGCAGGGUAAACCCCGUUGAGAGCAAGGCCAAGUAGGGGUAACAUCGCCAAAAGCGAGGUAGGUUUCUGAUACUCCGUUACCCGGGUGGGCUGCUAGAGGGUUUUGGUAACAAAGCUCCCAGAUAAAUGCUUGCCAAGACAGAACCCGGCUUAUAGCCCUUCCUAUUCC
rnacentral:RNase_P_RNA from 2 species